CUGAAAAGUUGUGUGUGUAUAACAGGUUGAUGUGAUGGAAAAUGACUGAAGUUUGGAUCCAAACUUUGGAUCUAAACACAGCCCAAGUGAGAUGCUAUUCCAGGGAUAAUGGGUAAGUUAAAAGGCCAUGUCACUAUGUUAGAGUGCUACAUAGCGAACA
rnacentral:misc_RNA from 1 species